rnacentral:tRNA from 1 species
GAUAUUGUAAUAAAAGGCUCAGCUGGUUAGAGCGCUGGUUUGUGGUACCAGAGGUCGCGGGUUCAAGCCCCGUCAGUCGCCCCA